UGGCUCAAAUGCUAAAGAAUCUGUCUGCAGAUCAGAAGACCCAGGUUCGAUUCCUGG
rnacentral:tRNA from 1 species